rnacentral:rRNA from 1 species
CCUACGGGAGGCAGCAGUAGGGAAUUUUCGUCAAUGGGCGCAAGCCUGAACGAGCAAUGCCGCGUGAACGAGGAAGGUCUUCGGAUCGUAAAGUUCUGUUGAAGGGGAAAAAGAGCGGAGAGAGGAAAUGAACUCCGAUUGAUAUUACCCUUCGAGGAAGUCACGGCUAACUACGUGCCAGCAGCCGCGGUAAUACGUAGGUGGAGAGCGUUAUCCGGAAUGAUUGGGCGCAAGGGGUGCGUAGGCGGCCUGCUAGGUCUGGAGUGAAAGGUACCGGCUCAACCGGUACAGGCUCUGGAAACUGGCGGGCUAGAGAGCAGGAGAGGGCGGUGGAACUCCGUGUGUAGCGGUAAAAUGCGUAGAUAUAUGGAAGAACACCAGUGGCGAAGGCGGCCGCCUGGCCUGUUACUGACGCUGAGGCACGAAAGCGUGGGGAGCAAAUAGGAUUAGAUACCCGUGUAGUC